UACGGAGGGUGCAAGCGUUAUCCGGAUUCACUGGGUUUAAAGGGUGCGUAGGUGGGUUGGUAAGUCCGUGGUGAAAUCCCCAAGCUUAACUUGGGAACUGCCGUGGAUACUAUCAAUCUUGAAUAUCGUGGAGGUAAGCGGAAUAUGUCAUGUAGCGGUGAAAUGCUUAGAUAUGACAUAGAACACCGAUAGCGGAGGCAGCUUGCUACACGAUCAUUGACACUGAGGCACGAAAGCGUGGGGAGCAAACAGG
rnacentral:rRNA from 1 species